GCAAAUGACUGUGUUCUUAGUGGCCAACCAGUAUCAUCAGUUAAGAAACACAGUGCUCGAUGCAGCAUAAAGUGGCAUCCUGGGGCACCUUCAAUGUUUGGUUCCAUGAUCAUAAUUCACAAUCUUAAAUUUUGUUCUCUGGGAUGCUGUCUCCUUUCUGACAAUUCAUGAUCACUGUGAUAUUCAUAGCCUAUUAUCGAUUUUUCUACGGCUUCAUGGAAUUUUUUUUUUGUUACAAUUGCUGUUUCUUUGUUUGCAUCUGGUGUUCUAAUUCAUCGGUGGAGUCUUCCAAGUGCAGAGGGCAAGGUUUAGUUAACAUGUGAGUUAUUGUAUUGGGAUAUGUAUAUGUAAUAUGAUAUCACGAGUUAUGUAGGUUUUACAUUCUUGUAUUAUCUGUUUAUUGUUUAAAAAAUAGAAAUGAAAAAAAGAAGAAGAUGAUGUAUAUUUAUUGGAGACAACAAGUAAUUGAAGAGAAAAAAGAGAGAAGAGAAGAGAAGAAACGAAGGAAAAGAAAGAGGAAGCUAGAAAGAAAGACAGUAGGGAGAGAGGAAAAACUUGUCAGCAAGUUCUUUUCUUGUUCAGCCAUAAUUGUCUAACAUGUAAAAACGUUACAUAUAAAUAAUGUAAGUAAACCCUUGGUUCAGUGGCCAAACCAGGAUUUUUUAGAUGAAAAAACAAA